rnacentral:SRP_RNA from 1 species
GCUGGGCGUGGUGGCGCACACCUGUAAUCCCAGCUACUCGGGAGGCUGAGACAGGACACUUGCUUGAACCCGGGAGGUGGAGGUGCAAUGAGCCAAGAUUGUGCCACUGUAUUCCAGCCUGGGUGACAGAGCAAGACUCUGUCUCAC